UACUGGAGAAGGACUGCGCUGCA
rnacentral:piRNA from 1 species